rnacentral:rRNA from 1 species
GAUGAACGCUGGCGGCGUGCUUAACACAUGCAAGUCGAACGGUGAAGCCAAGCUUGCUUGGUGGAUCAGUGGCGAACGGGUGAGUAACACGUGAGCAACCUGCCCUGGACUCUGGGAUAAGCGCUGGAAACGGCGUCUAAUACUGGAUAUGAGCUCUCAUCGCAUGGUGGGGGUUGGAAAGAUUUUUUGGUCUGGGAUGGGCUCGCGGCCUAUCAGCUUGUUGGUGAGGUAAUGGCUCACCAAGGCGUCGACGGGUAGCCGGCCUGAGAGGGUGACCGGCCACACUGGGACUGAGACACGGCCCAGACUCCUACGGGAGGCAGCAGUGGGGAAUAUUGCACAAUGGGCGGAAGCCUGAUGCAGCAACGCCGCGUGAGGGAUGACGGCCUUCGGGUUGUAAACCUCUUUUAGCAGGGAAGAAGCGAAAGUGACGGUACCUGCAGAAAAAGCGCCGGCUAACUACGUGCCAGCAGCCGCCGUAAGAC